UGCUAUACAUGCAGUCGAGCGGAGUGAUUUAGGAGCUUGCUCCUGAAUCGCUUAGCGGCGGACGGGUGAGUAACACGUAGGCAACCUGCCCCCUAGAUCGGGAUAACAUUCGGAAACGAAUGCUAAGACCGGAUAGACAGUUUUCUCGCAUGAGAGAAUUGGGAAACACGGAGCAAUCUGUGGCUAGGGGAUGGGCCUGCGGCGCAUUAGCUAGUUGGUGGGGUAACGGCUCACCAAGGCGACGAUGCGUAGCCGACCUGAGAGGGUGAACGGCCACACUGGGACUGAGACACGGCCCAGACUCCUACGGGAGGCAGCAGUAGGGAAUCUUCCACAAUGGGCGAAAGCCUGAUGGAGCAACGCCGCGUGAGUGAGGAAGGCUUUCGGGUCGUAAAGCUCUGUUGCCAGGGAAGAAUAAGGAUAUGUUAACUGCAUAUUCGAUGACGGUACCUGAGAAGAAAGCCCCGGCUAACUACGUGCCAGCAGCCGCGGUAAUACGUAGGGGGCAAGCGUUGUCCGGAAUUAUUGGGCGUAAAGCGCGCGCAGGCGGUUCUUUAAGUCUGGUGUCUAAGUGCGGGGCUCAACCCCGUGAUGCACUGGAAACUGGAGGACUUGAGUGCAGAAGAGGAGAGCGGAAUUCCACGUGUAGCGGUGAAAUGCGUAGAGAUGUGGAGGAACACCAGUGGCGAAGGCGGCUCUCUGGACUGUAACUGACGCUGAGGCGCGAAAGCGUGGGGAGCAAACAGGAUUAGAUACCCUGGUAGUCCACGCCGUAAACGAUGAGUGCUAGGUGUUGGGGUAUCAUGCCCUCGGUGCCGAAGUUAACACAUUAAGCACUCC
rnacentral:rRNA from 1 species